CCUUCAUUCGAGUUGGUGUGGAGAAGAACAUGUUCAUCAGCCGUGAGUCGAUCUUAAACCUGAUGGACUAUUAUAGGAGUGAUGACAAACUGACUUUCCAUCGAAUCAAUGUGACGUUCGAAGGAGAAAACAUUGCAGAGGAUAUGGAUGGCUUGUCCCGAGAGAUGUUGACGUGUUUUCUCAAGGCUGCCCUCUCAAAGUAUUUUGAGGGGAGUGAUGCUAAGGUCCCAAAAGUGGACCAUGAUGUGAUGGACACUGAUGUUUUCUCCAUCAUUGGGAAAAUCAUCAGCCACGCUUACGUGUUGUUGGGGUACUUCCCAAUGAGCCUAUGCAAGGCAUCAUUGUGUGCCCUGUUUGACCCGAAUGUGGACUCGGAGAUGAUCACAAGUUCUUUCUUAAAGCUCUUGCCUCCUCUUGAGAGAGACUUUAUGAAUACAACACUCAAAGAUCCGAUCACGCUCAAGGUGAAUGCAAACAGAUUGCCAUGCAUGUCAAUAUUUCCCAUCGGCACUAAAUAAUAUUUUUUCUUUUGCCAAAAGGAAGAGUAAAUGAUUUUCACCAAAAUGUGUUGCAACAAUGGUAAGAUAAUAGGAGAUGACAUGGUGUUUAACUCCAAUAUUCCCUUCAUAAUAUGGCUAAAAGUCAAAUAUGAGAGUUAAUAAACACCAUGUAUAAUCUGCUUAUAUCUAAUUACUGUUGUAAAUCAUUUUGGUUAUGAUCAUUUACUUUUCCUUUUGACCAUGUGGACGAACAAACAAAGUGAUUUUUUAGUGCAAAUGACACAUUUAAACAUGUUAAAUGAUUAAAAAUGGGAGGAUUAACUUAAGAGAAAUGCAUGUAUACAAUGUAUGGGAAAAUGUACAUGAAAUGAAAAAAUGCAGUUUUCUCAAAAUUUUACCAACAUAUUUUUUUAAUUCUUUCUGUUUUUGAAACUAUAUGAUAUUGGCUACAAUGUGGCACAGGUUUCAUCUCAAUGCAAUUUUUAAAAAAUCUUACUGAAAGUUAAAGACAUAAUCUCCUGAAAAUUUCCCAGCCCCAGUUAAGCACACCUGUGCUUAGAACAUUCAUUCAUGAAUCCUAAUCCAUCACGGUUUUCUUAAUAAAACAUCGGUAUUACUAUAAAAACAGCACUUUAAUCAGCCUUUUUUCGACCCGCCGCAAAACACGAAUGUCGCCGUCUUAAUUAGGUCACAGUAUUAUAAAUAGCUGUGACGUAGGCUAAGGAACCUGCUAAGGUGACCUACUCAUAUGUAAACACAGAAAGCACACGUCAGUACACGCUAGUAAACACAACGCGAUGGAUAGCAGCCGCCCCCGCUAACCCCGACGGGGAGAUGGACAUUAACGACGUGGACACUUGGUGUACAUGUGGGAACUGUUAGGUUUUGCCCAAGAGGAUCGAAUGCUCCUGCUGUCGGUCCAUCGAUCAUUACUUGGCGAGGAUGGAGAAGGCCAGAGGUCCGGUUCCAAGGUGCAUAACAGACCACAAAGGAUUCGAACGUGUGUGUCUUGACGAUGACGUCCUGGAGACUGCCUGGUUCGGCUAUAGGCAGCAUUAUGGGAAGAAGGGCAGAGAAGUUCGGCCACUGCACAAGCAGCAGAGACACUGUGCCUACCGACAGUUGGUCCGUUGGGUGUAUUCAUAUCUAGGAAAGGAGAUUCGAGUGCCACUCCCUUCUUGUGCCGUCUCGAAAAUCAGGGCAUUCUUUCCACCCCCAGAACUUGAGGAUGCAGCAGAAUUUGUCG